UUAAUUGAAACCAAAAAAGAGGUAAAUCAUUGUUAAUGAUUAAAUUGAAUAAAUAUUCCAAUUAAA
rnacentral:tRNA from 1 species